rnacentral:rRNA from 1 species
UAAUACGUAGGGGGCGAGAGUUGUCCGGAUUUACUGGGUGUAAAGGGUGCUCAGGUGGAUUUGUAAGUCAGAGGUGAAAUCCCAAAGCUCAACUUUGGAGCUGCCUUUGAUACUGCAAGUCUUGAGUUUGGAAGAGGGUAAUGGAAUAUCUGGUGUAGCAGUGAAAUGCGUAGAUAUCAGAUAGAACACCAAUGGCGAAGGCAGUUACCUGGUCCAAAACUGACACUAAAGCACGAAAGUGUGGGGAGCAAACAGG